UUCCUUCUGCUAGUAAUAGAAGGUACACCCUGCCCGGUGCCCUGCACUCAACGUGGGGUAAACGGCGGCCUUAACCUGAGGGUCCGAAGGUAGCAUGAUAAGUUGGCGUUUAAUUGGCGUCUGGGAUGAAUGGGCACACGUGGGAACGACUGUCUCUUGCCUAACAAUUGAAGCUAACCUGCAGGUGAAAAGGCCUACAUGUGUGAGAGGGACGACGAGACCCCACGAAGCUUUACGGUCGUGUUCAUAGGGGAUAAUCCAUAGCUAUGGCACAGAAGUUUUGUUGGGGCAACAGGGGGGAAAUGUUCUAUCCGAUUUAAUCCUAGUAUAAAAUCUGGGUUGGUGUAUCCUUUGUCAUACGUGAAAUAGCCACUAAUGUAGUGAAAACGAUUAAGUUACUCUGGGGAUAACAGCACAAUACCGUUAUAGAGUUCGUAUCGAGAACGGUGCUUGUGACCUCGAUGUCGGCUUAGGAUAACCUUGGUGGCGUAGAAGCUCCAAAGGGUUGGUCUGUUCGCCCAUUAAAAUCCUACA
rnacentral:rRNA from 1 species